CCAGACUCCUACGGGAGGCAGCAGUCGGGAAUAUUGCACAAUGGAGGAAACUCUGAUGCAGUGACACCGCGUAUAGGAAGAAGGUUUUCGGAUUGUAAACUAUUUUAGACAGGGAAGAAAAAAGACAGUACCUGUAGAAUAAGCUCCGGCUAAAUACGUGCCAGCAGCCGCGGUAAUACGUAUGGUGCAAGCGUUAUCCGGAUUUACUGGGUGUAAAGGGAGCGCAGGCGGCACGGCAAGCCUGAUGUGAAAGCCCGCGGCCCAACCGCGGGACUGCAUUGGGAACUACCGGGCUGGAGUGCCGGAGAGGUAGGCGGAAUUCCUAGUGUAGCGGUGAAAUGCGUAGAUAUUAGGAGGAACACCAGUGGCGAAGGCGGCCUACUGGACGGUGACUGACGCUGAGGCUCGAAAGCGUGGGGAGCAAACAGGAUUAGAUACCCCGGUAA
rnacentral:rRNA from 1 species